CUCCCAAGUGGGGUCAUCAUGUGAGGCCCCCUCCCAAUUGAUCAAGACCUGGAUACGAUCCCCUCAAGAGUAAUAACUGAGCAACGAUCCAGAAUUUUCUAAUGGAUGUGGUUACAAAGAGGAUGGUAAUUCAGGCGACGAUGGGGUAGUGGUAGGUGAUUUUUUCAGAAACGACUUUAGCUCUAAAACAAGGAAGACCGAAUAUAGGGCAUAAGAAGGUGGCAAGUUUAAACGGUAUACAACUUCACCAAUUCUAUAUGUAAUUGGGAGGGAUUAUAGUAGCGUUUUUGAAACUUAUUGUAGGACUUGUGAGUGAGUGAUUGUUGCUUGUACAGUUUGAUCUUUGACAACACUCAAUUCCCAAUCUAAAAGUGUUUCUUGCGUUGGUGUAAAUCUGCUUGUUUCUUCAU
rnacentral:lncRNA from 1 species